CGUCGGCUCUGGAACGUCCUCUCCGUAGAGCUUAGCCAUGCUCCCUCCUCAGUGUUUAAAAAAACAAACCAACUAAAAACACAUCUUUUAAAAGAGGCUUUUAAAAGUUUCACCUGUUGUUUAUCUCUGAGAAGGCUGCCGUGCCAUUGACUUUAUAUGACAAAUACGUGUAUUUCCUGCCUUCUGGCAGAGAUUCACGGGAAUGUGUAAGAUGAUCUCAGCCCCUGUUCCUGCACUUCUUAAGGAUUUUCGAGAGGGCUCGGAAAGAGGCGGCACAGACAGAAUGCUGCAGCAUCACAGAAUGUACAGUUUGACCUUUCUGAUGCAACCUUUUGCUGACUUAUAAGAGUCAGCUUGCGAUCUUCUUUCUCCAUCCAACACACAACCUUUAUAUCUGUGUAAAUACUACAAAGACACACCGCUAGUCUGCAGUGGCAGGAGGGCAGGAUUUAAGGUACUGGCAGUGGUCCGUGGAGGUGUGUUUGAACUUUUCAGCACUUGGAGAAGUGGAACAAUCAGAGGCAGCCUAAUACUGGCAAUGAAAUUGACAUAGAAAUUAGCUCCAACUGUUAACGAUUGGUUCAAGAGUGUGAAAUGUUGCCCUUAUGUCAAAAUUAACUUACUACAAGAAAGCAGUAAAAGGAAUAAACAGGAUAAAUGUGUUGAAAAGUGGAAUUUCCUUAUACAAUACUGGAAAAAUAACUUUGUGGGUGUGAAGCCUCUGUUUGUAUGAUUAUAUUCUCCUUAAUAUGAUAGUUGAAGGGGUUAAGAUGCAACCGGAGAAUAUACAUUGGAUGCUCAUUAUUUAAAGUAUUUUCCUUUACUGUG